rnacentral:lncRNA from 1 species
GGGGGAGACUUGGUCUUCUAGUCGGGAUCAACCUAUCCUAUCCCAAAUAGAUCGGUUUUUGGUAUGUGGAGCAUGGGAGGCUAAGUUUCCGGAGAUCAUUCAGAGGAGAAUGGAGAGACUGUAUUCUGAUCAUUACCCUAUAUCGUUAUCUGGGAAUGUGAGGCGUGCUGGUAAAAAACCUUUUGGGUUUGAAAAGAUGUGGCUUAAAGUAGAUGGUUUUGGGGAACGAGUACGGACUUGGUGGACGUCUUAUGACUUCAGGGGAUCUCCCAAUAAUGUGUUGGAUUGCAAAUUGAAGGCGCUGAAAAGAGAUUUUAAGAGGUGGAAUGAGGAGGUGGUGGGAGAUGUUAACCAUCGCAAAAAUCAAUGCUUAUCGAUCAUUGAGGAGCUGGAUAGGAGGGAGGAAAGUAGAGGACUGGCAUGGGAAGAGAGGGUGAGACGAGGAGAAUUAAGGGAAGAAUUGGUGAGGUUGGUGGAGAUGGAGGAGACUACUUGGCGUUAGAAAUCUAGGAUCAAGUGGUUGAAAGAAGCGGACAAAUGCACCCGCUUUUUC